rnacentral:sRNA from 1 species
AACACUGUUACAUACGGGUUACGAUCAAGC